rnacentral:rRNA from 1 species
AGGAUGAACGCUGGCGGCGUGCCUAACACAUGCAAGUCGAACGUCCUGUCUCGCAAGAGGCAGGGAGUGGCGGACGGGUGAGUACCACGUGGGUUAUCUACCGUGAGGUGAGGAAUACCGGCGAGAAAUCGCCGACAAGACCGCAUAGCCUCGGUGCAAGCCGAGCAAAGCUCUUUCGAGAGAGGGAGCGCCACACGAGGAGCCUGCGCCCGAUUAGCUAGCUGGUGGAGUAACGGUUCACCAGGGCGACGAUCGGUAGCUGGUCUGAGAGGACGAUCAGCCACACUGGGAUUGAGAACGGCCCAGACUCCUACGGGGGGCAGCAGUGAGGAAUUUUCGUCAAUGGGGGCAACCCUGAACGAGCAACGCCGCGUGCAGGAAGAAGGUUUUCGGAUCGUAAACUGCUUUUCGUCGGGGAAGAGAACGGACGGUACCCGAGGAAUCGAGCCCCGGCUAACGUACGCGCCAGCAGCCGC